rnacentral:rRNA from 1 species
CCUACGGGAGGCAGCAGUGGGGAAUAUUGCACAAUGGGCGCAAGCCUGAUGCAGCCAGGCCGCGUGUGUGAAGAAGGCCUUCGGGUUGUAAAGCACUUUCAGCGGGGAGGAAGGCGGUGAGGUUAAUAACCUCAUCGAUUGACGUUACCCGCAGAAGAAGCACCGGCUAACUCCGUGCCAGCAGCCGCGGUAAUACGGAGGGUGCAAGCGUUAAUCGGAAUUACUGGGCGUAAAGCGCACGCAGGCGGUCUGUCAAGUCGGAUGUGAAAUCCCCGGGCUCAACCUGGGAACUGCAUUCGAAACUGGCAGGCUAGAGUCGUGUAGAGGGGGGUAGAAUUCCAGGUGUAGCGGUGAAAUGCGUAGAGAUCUGGAGGAAUACCGGUGGCGAAGGCGGCCCCCUGGACAAAGACUGACGCUCAGGUGCGAAAGCGUGGGGAGCAAACAGGAUUAGAUACCCUUGUAGUC